rnacentral:rRNA from 1 species
AACGAACGCUGGCGGCAUGCCUAACACAUGCAAGUCGAACGAAGUCUUCGGACUUAGUGGCGCACGGGUGCGUAACGCGUGGGAAUCUGCCCUUGGGUACGGAAUAACUCAGAGAAAUUUGUGCUAAUACCGUAUAAUGUCUUCGGACCAAAGAUUUAUCGCCCAAGGAUGAGCCCGCGUAAGAUUAGCUAGUUGGUGGGGUAAAAGCCUACCAAGGCGACGAUCUUUAGCUGGUCUGAGAGGAUGAUCAGCCACACUGGGACUGAGACACGGCCCAGACUCCUACGGGAGGCAGCAGUGGGGAAUAUUGGACAAUGGGCGAAAGCCUGAUCCAGCAAUGCCGCGUGAGUGAUGAAGGCCCUAGGGUUGUAAAGCUCUUUUACCAGGGAUGAAAAUGACAGUACCUGGAGAAUAAGCGCCGGCUAACUCCGUG